UGGUCUCCCUUAGCGUCAACCACAAUACAUUCUGUCUCUUCUCCCUGUCCUCCCUCUUGGAAGCCGGCAAUGAAGAGAAAGAGGCAAAUCAAGGCAGAAUACACUGGAGAGAUCUGGGAAUCUGCAGAGAGAAAUUGACGGAGGUCCGGACAAUGCAGAAAUGACAGCUGCAGAGGCUACAUUUUCAAUAAUCACUGUGCCAGUGCUCUUCCUGGUGACAUGGAAGUGACGCUUGCAGCAUCUUUGGUGACUAGCCCCUAAUUUAAUGCUUCCCUUUCACUCGUUUAGACUUUAACUCAGAAAACACUAAACGUGUGUUAUCAGGACACUGUCCACAGGAGCUUCAAAGACAAGAAUCCCUAGCCACCGGUCUGUCAUGUAAGGGACUUUGGAAGUUGUAUUUGUGCCCUCAAAACAAGAAACACCUGGAAAAAAAAAGAAAACCUGAACGGUAACUUUGAUCUUUCAGAGAAGAGAAACUGUCAUCCCUGACAUGGAGACAGGGCUGUACAGGCCAUUGUCAUUUACUGCUGCAGGUGCCAGGGAGAAACACUUAGAAUAGCUGACUGAUUGUUGGAGACUGAGUGUGGACUAGCCUGAGGCAUUACAUUCAGAGGCUCCUGACAGGCUAGGUCUCCACACUGGGGUGGGGUUUGCUUUCAGGAGUCCUACCAAGUUAUUGAGAUGAAGACUGAAGGAACAGCCUUCCCUAAAGGAAAGGAAACCGUUGCCAUUCAAUAUGGAAAAGCCUCCCAGCAUAACAGGAAGCAAAGAGAAGAGGCAAGUCGAGCCUACGAGUUAACCAGAAAAGACAACAGGGCUAACCCUUUGGCCAUCAGUUCCCAGCUACUUGAGUUCUGGCAGUGCUGGGGAGUUGGGUAAGCUGCUAUCAUUGAGAGCUGGUAAAGUCAAAAAUGAAGGGAUUGGAGGAAGUCUUCUGUUGUGGUAGUGUGGCUUUUGAUCCUCUGAGACAGAUAUCUCAUGGACCCAGGCUUUAUUACUUCACACCACAAUUCUAACUUUUCAUAAGAAAAAGCACAGUAAUGGGCAAAGGGAAAAAAAUAUCUUGCGUCUCUAGAAGCUAUUAUGAUGGCUGUGUCUCAAGCUGUGAGCUCUCAGCUACUGCUCCAGCACCAUGCCUGCCUACUUCUUGCCAUGCUCCCUGCCUUGAUAGUCAUGGAUUCCAACCUUCUGAAACUGUAAGUCCCAAAUAAAAUCUUUCUUCAAUAAA